AGCUCCAAUAGCGUAUAUUAAAGUUGUUGCAGUUAAAAAGCUCGUAGUUGGAUUUCUGUUAGUGAGAACGGGUCAUCUCAUUGAGCAUGUACCUGUUAUCAUCGACAUUAAUCCGAUCUAUUUAGUGAGUCAAAUCACUGGAUAUUUGGAGCAGUUACUUUGAGAAAAUUAGAGUGUUUCAAGCAGGCGUAAUGUCUUGAAUACUCCAGCAUGGAAUAAUAAGAUAGGACUCAGGUUCUAUUU
rnacentral:rRNA from 1 species